GGAGUGAGAGCGUACACAGGUGCUGCAUGGCUGUCGUCAGCUCGUGUCGUGGGAGUGUUGGGUUAAGUCCCGCAACGAGCGCAACCCCUGCAUUCAGUUGCCAUCGGUAAGGCCAGGCACUCUGGAUGGACUGCCGGCGACAAGCCGGAGGAAGGUGGGGGACGACGUCAAGUCAUCAUGGCCCUUAUGUCCAGGGCGACACACGUGCUACAAUGGCCGGCACAACGGGAAGCGAAGGGGCGACCCUGAGCGGAUCCCACAAAAGCCGGUCUCAGUUCGGAUUGCAGUCUGCAACUCGACUGCAUGAAGUUGGAAUCGCUAGUAAUCGUGGAUCAGCCAAGCCGCGGUGAAUACGUUCCCGGGCCUU
rnacentral:rRNA from 1 species